CAAAAUUUUUAGCGGGCAGAAAGAUCUGUGUUUGUUAUUGUUUUUGACGAUGUGGUAGAUGCCGCGUGGAACUUUUGUAGUAAUUCAGUAAUAGGCUUUAAGGUAUUGUGAUUUCUAAGAGACGAAAAGCGGAACGCAAAAUUGUUGGAGAGAAAACAGGAAACGUAAUAUACAUUCGCCUUCUGGGAGGCAGGCAAGCUGAUCGGUUAAAAUGAUUAUGAAACACAUCACAAAUACAGUACCACACCAGAACUACAGGAUUGUACUACCAAACGUUCUCUGCCACCACCCUUUAGUUUUUGGGAUGGUUACUAAGGAUAGACCACGGCAUAUAUCGAUGAUUGUUAUUUUAUAUUUUACCAUCUGCGCCAAAUUAAUAUAUUAAUGUUAUAGCAAUAUCACAGGCAAACUUUAAGAAAAUGAACCUUUUUACAUUCCACUGUGGAAACCCACUGUUGUAUAAUGUUUAUUGAAGUGGAUGACACUUUUAUAUCUUGUGUUGAAGUUUUUUUUGGAAUAAAUGUAAUUUUUUAGUA